AGAGUUUGAUCCUGGCUCAGGACGAACGCUGGCGGCGCGCCUAACACAUGCAAGUCGAACGGAACUUGAGAGAGCUUGCUUUUUCAAGUAUAGUGGCGAACGGGUGAGUAACGCGUGAGUAACCUGCCCUGGAGUGGGGGACAACAGUUGGAAACGACUGCUAAUACCGCAUAAGCCCACGGCACCGCAUGGUGCUGAGGGAAAAGGAUUUAUUCGCUUCAGGAUGGACUCGCGUCCAAUUAGCUAGUUGGUGAGGUAACGGCCCACCAAGGCGACGAUUGGUAGCCGGACUGAGAGGUUGAACGGCCACAUUGGGACUGAGACACGGCCCAGACUCCUACGGGAGGCAGCAGUGGGGGAUAUUGCACAAUGGGGGAAACCCUGAUGCAGCGACGCCGCGUGGAGGAAGAAGGUUUUCGGAUUGUAAACUCCUGUCGUACGGGACGAUAAUGACGGUACCGUACAAGAAAGCCACGGCUAACUACGUGCCAGCAGCCGCGGUAAAACGUAGGUGGCAAGCGUUGUCCGGAAUUACUGGGUGUAAAGGGAGCGCAGGCGGACCGGCAAGUUGGAAGUGAAAUCUAUGGGCUCAACCCAUAAAUUGCUUUCAAAGCUGCUGGCCUUGAGUAGUGCAGAGGUAGGCGGAAUUCCCGGUGUAGCGGUGGAAUGCGUAGAUAUCGGGAGGAACACCAGUGGCGAAGGCGGCCUACUGGGCACCAACUGACGCUGAGGCUCGAAAGCAUGGGUAGCAAACAGGAUUAGAUACCCUGGUAGUCC
rnacentral:rRNA from 1 species